GGGUACGGGUUUUUAGGAAACCGGAAACGGAUCCUUUUUUUUUGAGAAGUUUGUCAAAACUUGGUCAUUUUAAAAGGAAGUGAAAAGUCGUUAACAAGGUUUCCGUAGGUGAACCUGCGGAAGGUUCAUU
rnacentral:rRNA from 1 species